rnacentral:rRNA from 1 species
GAUGAACGCUAGCUACAGGCUUAACACAUGCAAGUCGAGGGGAAACGGCAUUGAGUGCUUGCACUCUUUGGACGUCGACCGGCGCACGGGUGAGUAACGCGUAUCCAACCUUCCCAUUACUGUGGGAUAACCUGCCGAAAGGCAGACUAAUACCGCAUAGUCUUCGAUGACGGCAUCAGAUUUGAAGUAAAGAUUUAUCGGUAAUGGAUGGGGAUGCGUCUGAUUAGCUUGUUGGCGGGGUAACGGCCCACCAAGGCGACGAUCAGUAGGGGUUCUGAGAGGAAGGUCCCCCACAUUGGAACUGAGACACGGUCCAAACUCCUACGGGAGGCAGCAGUGAGGAAUAUUGGUCAAUGGACGGAAGUCUGAACCAGCCAAGUAGCGUGCAGGAUGACGGCCCUAUGGGUUGUAAACUGCUUUUGGAUGGGGAUAAAGUUAGGGACGUGUCCCUAUUUGCAGGUACCAUACGAAUAAGGACCGGCUAAUUCCGUG